GAUGAACGCUGGCGGCGUGCUUAACACAUGCAAGUCGAACGAAGCACUUUAACGGAACUCUUCGGAGGGAAGUUAUUGUGACUGAGUGGCGGACGGGUGAGUAACGCGUGGGUAACCUGCCUCGCACAGGGGGAUAACAGUUAGAAAUGACUGCUAAUACCGCAUAACCCGCUAGUACCGCAUGGUACAGACGGAAAAGAUUUAUCGGUGCAAGAUGGACCCGCGUCUGAUUAGCUGGUUGGUGAGGUAACGGCUCACCAAGGCGACGAUAAGUAGCCGGCUUGAGAGAGUGGACGGCCACAUUGAGACUGAGACACGGCCCAGACUCCUACGGGAGGCAGCAGUGGGGAAUAUUGCACAAUGGGGGAAACCCUGAUGCAGCGACGCCGCGUGAGUGAAGAAGUAUUUCGGUAUGUAAAGCUCUAUCAGCAGGGAAGAAAAUGACGGUACCUGACUAAGAAGCCCCGGCUAACUACGUGCCAGCCGCCGCAGUAAAAC
rnacentral:rRNA from 1 species